CCCCGCAAGCGUUUCAUCACACAUCAAGCUUCAUAUUUGGUCUUUGGUACCUAAAACAUUAUAUUAAUGCAAGGGUCAAUUUCCGGUUCUACAUGGGAUCACCUAGACUCAGAAAAAUGCCAUAAAAUAAUAAUAAAAGUACUCAUCAACUAAAAAGGAUUAGAAAUUUCCAAAAGAACCAAGUACCAAAACUAUUUUGAAAAACUUUAUGCAUGGGAUGCAUGAUAUGUAGGACUCAAAUGAUCCGGAUAUAAGGCCCGCCACCCAGUGACAUUAGCCCACAUAGAAGGUCCGCCACCCAGUGACAUUAACCAACCUAUAAGGCCCGCCACCCAGUGAUAUUAGCCCACCUAUAAGGCCCACCCCACCAGGCCCGCCACCAAGUGACAUUAGCCAACCUAUAAGGCCCGCCACCCAAUGACAUUAGCCCAAAAUACUUCUUGCUAUGCUAUACAACUCAAUGUCAUCGGUAAAAUCCAAAAAUAAAACUAGAAAAUGCAACUCAUCAACCUCUAAUAUUCUCUAAUAUUUUAUGAACCACAAGCCAUUUCUUAGAAUCAUAUAUAGUCAUCAACAUGCCAAAUCUAACAAUCACAUUCUUCACAAUAGUCAACACAAUAUUCAAUCAAAACAAGAAGUCAUACAUAUAAAUUACAUAAGAUCAUUAAAUAGAAAAACUAACUCUUUCUAAUGAACAAGAAUUCUACUAUCAUUUCACAACACUUAUCCGACCUAGUAUGAUGGUGUGGGGAAAAACUCCUUACCUUGGCCGCUUUUCUUCCUAGCAAAAGGACUCUAAAUGCGUACACAACGAUCUUUGCUCUGCUGUGCCUAAACUUGGAAUUAGCUAUGCUAUGGAUUGGAAUUAGCUACGCAAUGGUUCCUACUAUAUGUUCUCUUCUAGUUCUCAUUUUCUUUUAAUUUGUCACUAACUUUGGGAAGUUGAAACCGGGAGAGUAUUGUGUAUUUUGUGGGUUUGUGUAGCAGACCAUAAAAGGUAUUUCAAGUCUCUUGUCUAAUUGUGUUGUUCAUG
rnacentral:lncRNA from 1 species